rnacentral:sRNA from 1 species
GGCUGGUCCAAUGGUAGUGGGUUAUCAGAACUUAUUAACAUUAGUGUCACUAAAGUCGGCAAACAAUCUUCCACUGCUAAAUUUAGCUUAAA